ACACACAAACACAAACGCUUGCGCAGCAAAUAGAUAAAGUUGUAGAUUAUGUGUAAGUUUGUUGUAUGUUUUCUGCACUAUUUUUUUUUUUUGGGGUUAUUUCUAGUUGUAGAAAUUGAACCGGUUGCGACGCGCUGCGAAAAAUGUGUUAAUUGUCGCGUUUUUACAACUAAAACUUAACAGCAACAAAAACAAAAACAACAACAACUGCGACGUCGUUCAAUUGAAGGUAGACGACAGCGACAGCGACGCUGACGUCGACGUCGACGUCGGUUCCAAAAGUCACUUGCGCUAAUUAGUUAAACUUUUUUUUUCUAUUGCUUGUUCUUGUUGUUGCUGUUGUUCUUGCGGUUGCAAAACACUCAUAAGCUGAACGUUGACGUCGGCUUCGCAUCGCAUCGCAUCGCAUCGCUUUACGUCGUGUCGUUUCGUUUCAUUUCGUUUUGUUGCAAAUUCUUAUUUCUCAUUCGCGCUUCUCAAAUUGCCAAGCAAAAAAAAAAAGUAAACGACGCGUCGCCUUGUCGUCGUGGGUCACAAUUCGCAUUUCAAUGCAUUCCAAUUACGACAAUGGAACAGUGUGAGGGCAAAUUGAUAUCGUCCGAUAAUACUCACACAUAUGCACACCAUCGCUAACACACACACACACACAUCUUUACGUGAAACUUUGCACUUUGUAGAUCGAGCUUUGUUUUUGCAA